GAUGAACGCUGGCGGCGUGCCUAAUUCAUGCAAGUCGAGCGAACAGACGAGGAGCUUGCUCCUCUGACGUUAGCGGCGGACGGGUGAGUAACACGUGGAUAACCUACCUAUAAGACUGGGAUAACUUCGGGAAACCGGAGCUAAUACCGGAUAAUAUAUUGAACCGCAUGGUUCAAUAGUGAAAGACGGUUUUGCUGUCACUUAUAGAUGGAUCCGCGCCGCAUUAGCUAGUUGGUAAGGUAACGGCUUACCAAGGCAACGAUGCGUAGCCGACCUGAGAGGGUGAUCGGCCACACUGGAACUGAGACACGGUCCAGACUCCUACGGGAGGCAGCAGUAGGGAAUCUUCCGCAAUGGGCGAAAGCUUGACGGAGCAACGCCGCGUGAGUGAUGAAGGUCUUCGGAUCGUAAAACUCUGUUAUUAGGGAAGAACAAAUGUGUAAGUAACUAUGCACGUCUUGACGGUACCUAAUCAGAAAGCCACGGCUAACUACGUG
rnacentral:rRNA from 1 species